UACGUAGGUGGCGAGCGUUGUCCGGAUUUACUGGGCGUAAAGGGCUUGUAGGCGGUCCGUUAAGUCCGAUGUGAAAUCUCCCGGCUCAACUGGGAGAGGUCAUUGGAUACUGGCGGACUAGAGGGGGGUAGAGGAAAGCAGAAUUCCUGGUGUAGCGGUGAAAUGCGCAGAUAUCAGGAGGAACACCAAUGGCGAAGGCAGCUCGCUGGGACGGUACUGACGCUGAGGAGCGAAAGUGUGGGGAGCGAACAGG
rnacentral:rRNA from 1 species